CUACGGGGUGCUGCAGUGGGGAAUAUUGCACAAUGGGCGCAAGCCUGAUGCAGCCAUGCCGCGUGUAUGAAGAAGGCCUUCGGGUUGUAAAGUACUUUCAGCGGGGAGGAAGGGAGUAAAGUUAAUACCUUUGCUCAUUGACGUUACCCGCAGAAGAAGCACCGGCUAACUCCGUGCCAGCAGCCGCGGUAAUACGGAGGGUGCAAGCGUUAAUCGGAAUUACUGGGCGUAAAGCGCACGCAGGCGGUUUGUUAAGUCAGAGGUGAAAUCCCCGGGCUCAACCUGGGAACUGCAUCUGAUACUGGCAAGCUUGAGUCUCGUAGAGGGGGGUAGAAUUCCAGGUGUAGCGGUGAGAUGCGUAGAGAUCUGGAGGAAUACCGGUGGCGAAGGCGGCCCCCUGGACGAAGACUGACGCUCAGGUGCGAAAGCGUGGGGAGCAAACAGGAUUAGAUACCCCCGUAGUC
rnacentral:rRNA from 1 species